UUCUCCGGGUCUCUCAGAGUCUUUCUGGUCCAACAUCUCACAGGGUUGCUGUAACUUCAAUGAACUAUAUACCAGGACUCUUUUCCGUGGAGACAAGGUACACUCCUGUCUGAAGAACAACUCUUCCGCAGAGGGUCCUGAGCAGAAAUCACAAGGUAUGACAUCAAUGCUUCUAUCUUCAUUUGUGGACUAGAUUCUAUCACUUCAUCUCUACUCAAGACAAUUGAUCCAGAAAUUCUUCUGCAUCAUCAAUUUCUCUGCUCUGCUGCAUCAUUCCCACAAAGAUAUAAACAUGCUGUAAUUUAUCCCAUUUAAAGCAGAAACAAAACAAAAAGGCCCUCUGGUCCACUUCUCCAUCCAGCUUUAUCCCGUUGCUUUACAUCCAUUACAACAUGGGGGAAAAGCUUUGCAAGUAUUGUCUAUACUUGCUGCAUCCAAUUCUCUUUCCAUUUCUCUUGAACUCACUCAAGUAUUGUUUUCACUCCACUACUCCACUGAAACUACAUUUAGCAAGGCCACUAAUGACCUUCAAGCCACUAAAUUCAAUGGUCAGUUCCUAGUUCUUAUUUCUUUAAUCUACCCACUGCAUUUGAAAUGUCGAGUUACUCUGUCUUCCCUGAAGCACUCUCUUCAUUUGGCUUCUGGGACCCCACACUCCACUGGUUUUCUUUCUAUUUUGUAAUCUCUUUUGCUAUUUCCUACUCAUCCUACCAAUCUCUUAAUACUGGUGUGCCCAGAGCUCAGUCUUUAGACUUCUUUCUCUCUUAACUCACUCUACUAGUGACUUAUCCAGUCUCAUGGCUUUAAAAACAAUUUAUAUGCUAAUGAUUCCAAUAUUUAUAACUCCAUGCCAGACCCUUCUCUGUCUCUUGAAUCCCAAACCUAUAUAUUUACUUGCCUACUUGAAAUUCCUCUGGAUGUUUUAUAGUCACCUCAAUCUUAAUAUUCCCACAAUAAACUUCUAAAUCUCCUAUCCAGAUCAACCCCUUUCAUACCCUCCAUCUAUUCAAACCCCAAAUCAUGGAAUCAUCCUUAACUACUCUCUUUCUUUCAAAUACCAUACCCAAUCCCGGAUGAAAUCCUAUAAGCUCUACCUUCAAAAUAUAGUUAGAAUCUGACCACCUCUUACUCCCUCCAUGGCUACUAUGA